rnacentral:rRNA from 1 species
UGGGGAAUAUUGGACAAUGGGGGAAACCCUGAUCCAGCAAUGCCGCGUGUGCGAUGAAGGCCUGCGGGUUGUAAAGCACUUUCGGUGGGGAAGAAAUACUCAAAGAUAAUCUCUUUGAGGGCUGACAUUACCCACAGAAGAAGCACCGGCAAACUCUGUGCCAGCAGCCGCGGUAAUACAGAGGGUGCAAGCGUUAAUCGGAGUUACUGGGCGUAAAGGGCGCGUAGGCGGUUACUUAAGUCGGAUGUGAAAUCCCUGGGCUCAACCUAGGAAUUGCAUUUGAUACUGAGUAUCUAGAGUAUGGUAGAGGAAAGUGGAAUUCUCGGUGUAGUGGUAAAAUACGUAGAUAUCGAGAAGAACGCCGGUGGCGAAGGCGGCUUUCUGGACCAAUACUGACGCUGAGGCGCGAAAGCGUGGGGAGCAAACAGG